GGGGCUGAAGGGUAAGCAGGACACAGGAAGAGGAGGCUUGCUGGUCAGGAGGGCCGUAGAGAUUGCAGGUCAGUAUCCAAGAGCGUGACGCAUCCAAACUCCUAGACUGACAGCCUUUCCAAAGCCAGAGACCUUUAAACUCCACUCCACCUAGUCAUCCACGGCUACAGCCAAGCCCUUGUCAUAACUAAACUACGGCUGGAAUCCUGCAGAUCCUAAACUUCAAAUGCCCCACUCUAACCACCGCCUCCUGCACGCACUGCUCUUUUUUUGUGUGUAUGUUAAAUAUAUGAAACCUAAAAUUUACCAUUUCAGCCAUUCUUAAGGGGAGAAUUCAGGGCCAUUAAGUACCUUCACAGUGUUGUGCAACCACCACCCACUGUCCAUUUCCAGAACCUUCUCAUUAUCCCAGACAUAAACUCUGUACCCCUUAAACAAACAGUAACUCCUCACUUCCCUCUCUUCUCCCAGCCCCUGGUUACCUCCGCUCACUUUCUGUUUCUAAAAAUCUGUCCACCUCUCUCUCUAUAACGCUGCCUGUUCUAGGUAAGAGGUGGACUUAUACAUUCGUCCUUUUAUUUCUGGCUUAAUGUCUUCAAGUUUCAUCCACUUUAGAGCAAGGAUCCGAAGGUGCUUCCUUUGUAAGGCUGACAUCCCUUUGUAUUUUGUUUAUAUCCGUUCAGCUACUGACGGACAUUUGGGUUGUUCCCACCUUUGGGCUGUUGUGAUAACACUGCUGUAAAAACCGGUGUAACAGGAUCUGAUUCCCUGCUUCCAGUUGUUUUCAGUACAUUCCUAGGAAAAGUAUUGUUAGAUACAUAAUUCUAUGUUUAACUUUUUUGAGAAACUGCCAUAAAAAUAUAAAUAAUGGCAUGAGAUAUAUUUAUAUAAAAUAUAUAUUAUAAAUAAUGGCACGAGAUAGAUACAUUCGUAUGAAAUAUAUAUCGUACAUAACGGCACGAGACAGAUUCGUAUGAAAUAUAUAUCAUGUAUUUGUGUGAAAUAUGCAUCGUACAUAACGGCACGAGAUGUAUUUGUGUGAAAUAUGCAUUGUACAUAACGGCACGAGAUAGAUUUGUGUGAAAUAUGCAUCGUACAUAAGGGCACGGGAUGUAUAAAUAACGACCGUU
rnacentral:lncRNA from 1 species